CAGUCACAUCACAUUGAAACACUAGUUCCUAGAUGAUCACCAAAGUUAAGCAAUGUCAAGCCUGGUUAGUACCUUGAUGGGUAACCACUUGGGAAUACCAGUUAGUG